UACAUAGGUGGCAAGCGUUGUUCGGAAUAACUGGGCGUAAAGGAUGCGUAGGCGGUUAAACAAGUUAUAUGUUAAAUAUAUAGGCUUAACCUGUAGAAAGCAUAUAAAACUGUUUAACUAGAGUGCAGGAGAGGUAAGUGGAAUUCCUAGUGUAGCGGUGAAAUGCGUAGAGAUUAGGAAGAACACCAGUGGCGAAGGCGACUUACUGGACUGUAACUGACGCUGAGGCAUGAGAGCAUGGGGAGCAAACAGG
rnacentral:rRNA from 1 species